rnacentral:rRNA from 1 species
CGGUGCUGAAGCAACAAAUGCCCUGCUUCCAGGAAAAGCCUCUAAGCAUCAGGUAACAUCAAAUCGUACCCCAAACCGACACAGGUGGUCAGGUAGAGAAUACCAAGGCGCUUGAGAGAACUCGGGUGAAGGAACUAGGCAAAAUGGUGCCGUAACUUCGGGAGAAGGCACGCUGAUAUGUAGGUGAAGUCCCUCGCGGAUGGAGCUGAAAUCAGUCGAAGAUACCAGCUGGCUGCAACUGUUUAUUAAAAACACAGCACUGUGCAAACACGAAAGUGGACGUAUACGGUGUGACGCCUGCCCGGUGCCGGAAGGUUAAUUGAUGGGGUUAGCGCAAGCGAAGCUCUUGAUCGAAGCCCCGGUAAACGGCGGCCGUAACUAUAACGGUCCUAAGGUAGCGAAAUUCCUUGUCGGGUAAGUUCCGACCUGCACGAAUGGCGUAAUGAUGGCCAGGCUGUCUCCACCCGAGACUCAGUGAAAUUGAACUCGCUGUGAAGAUGCAGUGUACCCGCGGCAAGACGGAAAGACCCCGUGAACCUUUACUAUAGCUUGACACUGAACAUUGAGCCUUGAUGUGUAGGAUAGGUGGGAGGCUUUGAAGUGUGGACGCCAGUCUGCAUGGAGCCGACCUUGAAAUACCACCCUUUAAUGUUUGAUGUUCUAACGUUGACCCGUAAUCCGGGUUGCGGACAGUGUCUGGUGGGUAGUUUGACUGGGGCGGUCUCCUCCUAAAGAGUAACGGAGGAGCACGAAGGUUGGCUAAUCCUGGUCGGACAUCAGGAGGUUAGUGCAAUGGCAUAAGCCAGCUUGACUGCGAGCGUGACGGCGCGAGCAGGUGCGAAAGCAGGUCAUAGUGAUCCGGUGGUUCUGAAUGGAAGGGCCAUCGCUCAACGGAUAAAAGGUACUCCGGGGAUAACAGGCUGAUACCGCCCAAGAGUUCAUAUCGACGGCGGUGUUUGGCACCUCGAUGUCGGCUCAUCACAUCCUGGGGCUGAAGUAGGUCCCAAGGGUAUGGCUGUUCGCCAUUUAAAGUGGUACGCGAGCUGGGUUUAGAACGUCGUGAGACAGUUCGGUCCCUAUCUGCCGUGGGCGCUGGAGAACUGAGGGGGGCUGCUCCUAGUACGAGAGGACCGGAGUGGACGCAUCACUGGUGUUCGGGUUGUCAUGCCAAUGGCACUGCCCGGUAGCUAAAUGCGGAAGAGAUAAGUGCUGAAAGCAUCUAAGCACGAAACUUGCCCCGAGAUGAGUUCUCCCUGACUCCUUGAGAGUCCUGAAGGAACGUUGAAGACGACGACGUUGAUAGGCCGGGUGUGUAAGCGCAGCGAUGCGUUGAGCUAACCGGUACUAAUGAACCGUGAGGCUUAACCUUACAACGCCGAAG